UACAGAGGUCCCAAGCGUUAUCCGGAUUCACUGGGCUUAAAGGGUGCGUAGGCGGGCAGGUAAGUCAGUGGUGAAAUCUCCGAGCUUAACUCGGAAACUGCCGUUGAUACUAUUUGUCUUGAAUAUUGUGGAGGUAAGCGGAAUAUGUCAUGUAGCGGUGAAAUGCUUAGAUAUGACAUAGAACACCAAUUGCGAAGGCAGCUUACUACACAACGAUUGACGCUGAGGCACGAAAGCGUGGGGAUCAAACAGG
rnacentral:rRNA from 1 species